rnacentral:rRNA from 1 species
GACGAACGCUGGCGGCGUGCCUAAUACAUGCAAGUCGAGCGAAGUUUUUCUGGUGCUUGCACUAGAAAAACUUAGCGGCGAACGGGUGAGUAACACGUAAAGAACCUGCCUCAUAGACGGGGACGACUAUUGGAAACGAUAGCUAAUACCGGAUAACAGCAUAAAUCGCAUGAUAUAUGUUUAAAAGUUGGUUUCGGCUAACACUAUGAGAUGGCUUUGCGGUGCAUUAGCUAGUUGGUGGGGUAAAGGCCUACCAAGGCGACGAUGCAUAGCCGACCUGAGAGGGUGAUCGGCCACACUGGGACUGAGACACGGCCCAGACUCCUACGGGAGGCAGCAGUAGGGAAUCUUCCGCAAUGGGCGAAAGCCUGACGGAGCAACGCCGCGUGAGUGAAGAAGGAUUUCGGUUCGUAAAGCUCUGUUGUUAGGGAAGAAUGAUUGUAUAGUAACUAUAUACAGUAGAGACGGUACCUAACCAGAAAGCCACGGCUAACUACGUGCCAGCAGCCGCGGUAAUACGUAGGUGGCAAGCGUUGUCCGGAAUUAUUGGGCGUAAAGCGCGCGCAGGUGGUUUAAUAAGUCUGAUGUGAAAGCCCACGGCUCAACCGUGGAGGGUCAUUGGAAACUGUUAAACUUGAGUGCAGGAGAGAAAAGUGGAAUUCCUAGUGUAGCGGUGAAAUGCGUAGAGAUUAGGAGGAACACCAGUGGCGAAGGCGGCUUUUUGGCCUGUAACUGACACUGAGG